AGAGUUUGAUCCUGGCUCAGAGCGAACGCUGGCGGCGUGCCUAACACAUGCAAGUCGAACGUGAAAUGGGGCAACCCAAAGUAAAGUGGCGUACGGGUGAGUAACGCGUAGGUAAUCUACCCCAGAGUCUGGAAUAACCGGCCGAAAGGCUGGCUAAUACUGGAUAGAGCGACGGAAUCCGUAAUUGGGUUUUUCGGGAAAGGGAGGCCGUAAGGUCCCUUGCUCUGGGAUGAGCCUGCGUCUCAUUAGCUAGUUGGUGGGGUAAUGGCCUACCAAGGCUUUGAUGGGUAGCUGGUCUGAGAGGAUGAUCAGCCACACUGGAACUGAAACACGGUCCAGACUCCUACGGGAGGCAGCAGUGGGGAAUCUUGCGCAAUGGACGAAAGUCUGACGCAGCCACGCCGCGUGAGUGAAGAAGGCCUUCGGGUUGUAAAGCUCUGUCGGAGGGGACGAAAAUGCUUACGGUUCAUAGCCGUAGGUACUGACGGUACCCUUAAAGGAAGCACCGGCUAACUUCGUGCCAGCAGCCGCGGUAAUACGAGGGGUGCAAGCGUUGCUCGGAAUUAUUGGGCGUAAAGGGGAGGUAGGUGGUCUCAUUUGUCUGGGGUGAAAGCCUUGGGCUUAACUCAAGAAGUGCCCCAGAAACGGUGAGACUAGAGUCCUGGAGAGGGUCGUGGAAUUCCCGGUGUAGCGGUGAAAUGCGUAGAGAUCGGGAGGAACACCAGAGGCGAAGGCGGCGACCUGGACAGGUACUGACACUCAACUCCGAAAGCGUGGGGAGCAAACAGGAUUAGAUACCCUGGUAGUCCACGCUGUAAACGAUGGGAACUAGGUUUGGUGGGUCUUGACCCCCGCUGAACCGGCGCUAACGCACUAAGUUCCCCGCCUGGGAAGUACGGUCGCAAGACUAAAACUCAAAGGAAUUGACGG
rnacentral:rRNA from 1 species